CCUACGGGUGGCAGCAGUGAGGGAUAUUGGUCAAUGGCGGAAACCCUGAACCAGCAACGCCGCGUGAGGGAAGACGGUUUUCGGAUUGUAAACCUCUGUCUUCUGUGAAGAUAAUGACGGUAGCAGAGGAGGUUGCUACGUCUCACUACGUGCCAGCAGCCGCGGUAAUACGUAGGGAGCCAGCGUUGUCCGGAUUUACUGGGUGUAAAGGGUGCGUAGGCGGCUUUGCAAGUCUGAAGUGAAAUCUAUGGGCUUAACCCAUGAACUGCUGUUGAAACUGCAGAGCUUGAGUGGGGUGGAGGUAGGCGGAAUUCGCGGUGUAGCGGUGAAAUGCGUAGAGAUCGGGAGGAACCCCAGGGGCGAAGGCGGCCUACUGGGGUCUAACUGACGCUGAGGCACGAAAGCGUGGGUAGCGAACAGGAUUAGAUACCCCUGUAGUC
rnacentral:rRNA from 1 species